AUGCAUACAAUCAUAUCAAUGUCAAAAAUAUCGAAAAGAUGCGUUUAAGUAGGAACGCGCUCGUAAAUUUAAACAUGAUAUCCCACUCCUUCAAUUAUACUAUAGAUCAUCUUAGAUCUCAUGAACAAGUGAGCAGCAUGCUAUUUCAAGCUUUUCUAUUUUUGUCAAUACAUAGUACUGCAUCACGAUUGGAUGCAAUAGGAGGUGGACGAGUAGUAUGAUGGAAGGGGGAAUACUAGUAAAUAAGUAAAGACAGAACGCAAGAGAAGAUUCAGUCUUAGAUAGAACAAUUAAAUUCUAGUUCAUCGCUAAACAUUGCAGAAUUUUCGACUAAAAUCCCUAUUACGAUGAUUAUGUGAAUUAUUCAAAUUUGUGAAUGACAAAUAAUGUUACGUAUUUUAUCUUAUACAAAACUGUGAUUUAUCUUAAGAAUUUUUUAAACAAUUAAUAAAAAUGGGUGCUAUUAUUAAACUGUUAUUGUGUGCUGUAUUAUGUGCGAGUGUACAGGGAGUGUGCAGACGUGUGAAGAACGAGGAUAUGAUUGAAUACUCUUGCAUGGGUGGUCAACUUUCUGAUUUAGAUAAUCUUCCAAUAUCGACAGGAAAAAUUCGAAUUUCUAACAUGCCUAUUCGUCAAAUAACUGCAAAUACUUUUUCGAGAUUCGGUUCGGAUCUUUGGGUUCUAGGUUGCUCCCAUUGUGGCAUAAUAGACAUCGAACCAAGAGCUUUUCAACGUCUAAAUAAUCUUCAACAAUUAAGCUUAAACAAUAAUCACUUGACCAUUGUAAAAGAAUCCUGGUUCAAAGGUUUAGAUUAUUUGACAUAUUUGGAUUUGAAUUACAAUAAUAUAGAAUCUAUCGAGGAUGGCGUAUUUUUAAGUCUACCCAGUCUUGUUGACUUAAGAUUAUCUGGUAAUCGUUUAGAAUGUUUGAAUCUUGUAGCUAUGUCACAAUUGAAAGAUUUAAAAAGAAUAUUUCUCAGUGAAAAUUCUGAGUUUAAAUGUCCAAACGCUAUUAGUAUUUAUCUUGAGGAUCGUGGAAUAAAUUUUGAAAAGGACCCAGAAUGGAGUAGAUUACCAAAUGAUUUAAUUCCAGUAACAAUCCCACUUGAUUAUGAUGACAUAACAGCUAUAAAGAUGCCGGUACAACCCUAUUCUGGCUAUCGUGAAAGAUUACAUCCAACAACGACAAUAUCAACAUCAACUAUGACAUCGACAUUACAAUAUAUUACACCAAAAUUUCAGACAACUGAAGAAGUAAUUUAUCGUCCAUACAAUAUUCCAAAUUGGAAAACAAUUUUCAAAUCAUCUACGAUUCGCUAUGAAGACAAAAUAAAAAUUACACAAAGUCCGUCAUAUGAAUACACAAAAGCAUCAUAUAUUCCACAAAAAACUAUUGCAUCAAUCGAAUCUACAACAUAUGUAUCAUCACCGCGUGGGACAGUGCAAGAUAAUAGCCAAGAAACAACGACCUUCAGAACUUGGCCAACUUUCUCGGAAUCUAGUACCAGAAUCGAAUAUCCCGUUUAUCCAUCCCAUAAAAACGAGGACAAACAUUAUACAAAACAACCAGAUUAUUCAAGUCCAAUAGACUCAUUCUCUUUGGCACCUAAUCAAGGUGAUCAUCAUCAAAUAUCUUCUGCAGAGCUUGAUAUGAAACAAACUAUGACUUCUUAUAGAACUGAUUCGUUAGAAAAGAACUUUAUUCUAUCGAAUGUGCAGUAUCCACCCAAUAUUGAAAACAGAUUAUCAUCGAUAGAUUCUUCAGACACAAUUUAUAGUACACAAUCUAUAUUUUCAUCAGAAAUGAUUCAGCCUGCUUAUUCAGAUGAUAUACAUUCGAAUAUCCUACCUAUUGUUAAAAACGGGACAGAAUCAAUGGAUUCUUCAAAUUCAACUCGUAUUAUACAAUCUAUACCUUAUUCACCACCAUCAAUGGUUCAAUCCGCUUAUCCAAAUAAUAUAUAUCAACCGCCUUAUUACGAGUCUACAGUCACUGUUCAUUCACCGCCAUUGAUAGAUAAUAAGUCACAGCAGAAGGAAGUAAGUCCGGGAAUCGUACCAAUUGAAACAACUACUGAUAAACCAUUACCUGAAUGUCCGACAAGGAAUUUAUCGAUAUCAAAUCAGAGUUCGAUUAGAAUGAUCAUUGUUUCUGUUCUUCUCAUGAUUACGAAUCAUGUCUUUGCGAGGGGACUUUAACUAAAAGUUUCAUUUAAUUUAAUUAUUUCAUCUGUAUAAUUCACCGAAUUUUUAAAAAACGGAUUAAAUUUAUAUUGAUGAAAUGUUUGAAACAUGUGUGAUAUACCUGUGUUAAACAUCGGACUAAUGGAAUUAAAUGAAAUGAUAUGUAUUGAAUCGUUUAAUCAAAAACAUUUUAAAUUGAAUAAACGAACUGUGGCUACUUUUUUUCGUUUAUUAGACCAUUUUAAGAAGAUCAAAUUUAAGAAACUGUUUAUCGCAAUAUGUUAUCAGAAAAGUCAACUUAAACGAUUGAUUCUUCAAAAGCACUGUAGAGCCAGCAAAAUCCAUAGCUGGGCCAAAGAAGCACAAGAAGCUGAACGUCUAAAUAAAAUGCUAAAAAUUGAGAACGAGGAAAACGCAGCUGCAAAUAAUUUAGCUUUAGCGAUUCAGAAUUGCAAUGAGGCCCGAGCAAGUCAAUCUGAUAAAUUUUUCGAUUCUUUAAUCGAUAAAUACGCAAAUAUGGCUAAGAAAUCGACGACGAAAAAGAAAAACAUGUUUGUAAAAACUGCAAAAAGCCCGAAAACUUCCAAAAGUUCGAAAUCUCCAAAGAAAACCAAGAGGAAGGCGUAGAAUAAUAUAAUUACUGCACGAAUCUCCCUCCAAGUUAGAAUAUUUGCACGAUUUUUAUAACUUAAUUAUUAAUCAUCGAUAAGCGUACCAUUAUCCGGUACAUCAAUUAAAAGAAGACGAAAAUGAUUAUAUGUAAGUUUUGUAAAUUCAAAACGUGUAUAUCGUCUUCUUAAACCAUCAUACUAAUUAUGCGGAUCAAUAAUUAAUUUCUUUAUAAUUUUAUGUAGAUAUCAUGUUCAAAUAUAAAAUUGAAA
rnacentral:misc_RNA from 1 species